rnacentral:lncRNA from 1 species
UUUUUUGUUGGCUGUCAACUAGCAGGCUGCCCUCUGCUCCUAGAGGCAGGCCAUGCACAAUUCCUUGCCACAUGAGGUUCCCCAGCAGGGCUGCUUGCUUCCUCAGAGCAGCAAAGUAGAAAGAUUAUAGCAAGAUUGGUGCUACAAUCUCAUGUGACAUAAUCACAUGAAGAUAAUCAUGUACAUCCUGUCACCUUUGUCAUAUUCUAUGAGUUAAACGCAAUCCAGCGUUGCCGUGAGCUAUGGUGUAGGUCGCAGUUAAGGUUCAGAUCUGACAUUGCUGUGGCUGUGGCAUAGGCUGGCAGCUGUAGCUCUGAUUCGACCUUUGGCCUGGGAACCUCCAUAUGCCUCAGGCGCAGACCUAAAAAGACAAAAGACAAAAAAAAAAAAAAAAGAAAAAAAAAACCACAACACUGCUGAGAUAAACACAGCGUAAAUAAAUGAAGAGGCAUGCCACCUUCAUAGAUUAGAAAAUUCAGUAUUAUUAAAAUGUCAGUUCUCUUUAAAUGGAUCUAUAUUCAACAUCCUGAUCAAAAUCUCAUCAGAAUCUUUCUUGUAGAAAUUAACAAAGUAAUUCUAACAUUUAUUUGAAAUUUCAGUGCGUUUAGAAAAUAACUUUAAAAAACAUCUUCAGGAGUUCCCUGGUGGCCUAGCAGUUAAGGAUUCAGCAUUGUCACUGCUGUGACUCAAGUUCAUGCCCUGAUCCGGGAACUUCUGCAUGGUAAGGGUGCAACCCCCCCAAAAAAAUUUUUUGAAAAAAAAGCAACUAAAUUGAAAGACUCAUUAUCACCUGUUUUCAAGACUUACUAUAAACAUACAGUAAUUAAGACAAAAAUAACAAGAUAAUUCAAUGGGGAAAGAAGAGUUGUUUCAAUCAACUGUGCUGGAUCAAAUGUAUGUUGUAUGAAAAAAAAAAUGAAACUCAAUCUCUACUUCACACUUUAUACAAAAAUUUACUUGAAUUUACUUGAAAUGAAAGAUAUACCUAAAGAUAAAACUAAAUUAUGAUACUUCUAGAAAAAAAUAUAGAAUACCUUCACAAGGUUUUGAAGUAGAAAAAAUUUCUUAGAUAAGACAACAAAAAAAGCAUUAAUCAUAAGGAAAAAAUUAGUAAAUUAGGCUAUAACAAAAUUUAAAACAUAGAUCUUCAAAAGAUCCCAGAGAGAAAUUGAAAAAGCAAAUCUCAGACUUGGUGAAAACAUCCAAUAAAGAUCUUGAAUCAAGGAUAAAGUAGCACCGAACUAAAAGAGUUUAGAAGUGUCCUUAAAAUUUAAACAUAUCUAAACCAACUUAAACAUAUGUUUAAAUUUUCUCAGCCUCAACACUAUUGAGAUUUGGGGCUAGAUGGUUCUUUGCUGUGGAUGCUGUCCUGUGCAUUGCAAAACAUUCAUUACUGGCCUCUACCCACUGGAUUCUAGUAGCACCUGCCCAGCAUGACAAAAAUGUCCCCAAACACUGCCAGAUGUCCUCUAGAGUGCAAAACUGUCCCUAGUUGAGAAACACUUAUCUAUUCUAUGGCCCAGCCAUUGAAUAUCUAGCUAUUUAGUCAAAAGAAAUGAAAACAUACAUCAGAAAAGAGACUUGAGCACAGAAGUUCAUAUCAUGCUUUUUCUUAAUAGUUAAAAAAAAAAAAAUGGAAACAACCCAAAUGUCCCUUAACAAGUAAAUGGAUAAGUAAAUUAUAGUAUAUUCAUUCAUAUGAUGGACUACUUCAUGAAUAAUGUUGCUGUCACUGAUGUG